rnacentral:rRNA from 1 species
UACGAAGGGGGCUAGCGUUGCUCGGAAUUACUGGGCGUAAAGGGCGCGUAGGCGGAUAUUUAAGUCGGGGGUGAAAGCCCAGGGCUCAACCCUGGAAUUGCCUUCGAUACUGGAUAUCUUGAGUACGGGAGAGGUGUGUGGAACUCCGAGUGUAGAGGUGAAAUUCGUAGAUAUUCGGAAGAACACCAGUGGCGAAGGCGACACACUGGCCCGUUACUGACGCUGAGGCGCGAAAGCGUGGGGAGCAAACAGG